CUGUGAAUGUGGGCUUCAUAAUCACUUCUUGUCCUUCUGAAUCAGUGGUCUUACCAUAGAGUUUUACUGUGUAUGUUAUAUUUCCUAUUUUGUAACCAGUUUUUAAGUGAUUAUUGGAAUUGGAUUGCCAAGAAAUUAAAUUCAAAUGUGAGGUUUUUAUCAUAGGUACUUGAGGACAAGACAUUUUUUUUUGCUCUCCCCUUGUUUUCCAAAAGUCGAAGGUUUAAUAUCAACAGCAGUCACUGAUAUAUAAUAUAGAAUAUAUCAGUGACCACUGUGGAUUAUCCAGGAUAAUAAACUUGGAACUGAUAUUAAUGCAAAUACAAGUUAUUUCUAGUAUAUUUAUGUUCAUAUUAUACUGCAAAACACGACAAUAAUUGAAAGAAAUAGAAAACAACAAAAAAAUAAUAAGGGGAGGGC
rnacentral:lncRNA from 1 species